ensembl:lncRNA
AGCUCUGUCUGGCUAACUCUGUCUGGCAGCCAUGUCUGGCUAGCUCUGUCUGGCUAGCUCUGUAAAACCCCACUCGGGCUCUCCAGCUUCAGGGAAAGCAGACCAAAGUUCCCCCCGAGACGCUAAAGCUGAUUCAGAAGGGGUUUGGGUUAAAUGUGGAAGACAUAUUUCAGUUGAAUGCAUUCAGUUGUACAACUGAUUAGUUAUCCUCCUGUCCUCCGUGUGAAAGUCUAACCUCAUAGCUGAGGUUCCACACCGUAUCUCCAUGACAACUGACUAGGUAUCCUCCUGUCCUCCGUGUGAAAGUCUAACCUCAUAGCUGAGGUUCCACACCGUAUCUCCAUGACAACUGACUAGGUAUCCUCCUGUCCUCCGUGUGAAAGUCUAACCUCAUAACUGAGGUUCCAUACUCUAUCUUCAUGACAACCAUGACAGCUGACUAGGGAUCUCACUGACAACCCUGCUAUGACCAGGACAAUAUAUAUACGGCACAGUCCAAAUUAGAAAUCAUCAAUGGGUAACUACGGGUAACCAAGGCGGUGUUGUUAACCAACGCAACUGUAACCAGAAGCAACCAACCCACCACCAACAUGACUAACCCACAGGCGGCGGCAUUUGGGGUUGCCAUG